rnacentral:lncRNA from 1 species
AGGGCAGCUGGGUCACGCGCCGUCCCAUCCAUCCUUGCUCUACAGCCACAGGACUGCCGUAACAGACAGAAAAUCAGAGGAUGUCCUCAAUCCGGACGUACUCGAAAACAUUCAGGAAAUACUGGCAAGGAACCUGUACCGAAUACGGAGAACGGUGCCGGCAUACAGCAGGCACACCCUUCCCGGGGAGACCGAGCCCGCAGAGCAGGCCGAAGAGAUCCUGAUCCUCCGGCACAGAAGCCUUCGGAUGGAAACGAGUGAGAGCGACGCAGUCGGCUCCAGGAAGGAGGUAAGCGAGAGUGGGAAACGCUCGUAACUGCAGAGACACAGUGCACCAUUCGUUUUUCCUAAUGAGGGAUCUCGUGCUAGCAGAUAUAAACAGCACUGGAAAGAGAGCUGCUUGCUGCUGGUGGUAUUUCCCCUUACAGACAAAUCCCGUCACCUUUAAAAAAAGAAAGUGUGACUCAAUCCUAAAUUACAUUGCAAUGACUAGGAAAUACUGAGGGUGGCCUGAAAAAAAAAGAAAAAAUCCAAUUCCCGACAAACAAAUGAACCAUCUUGUGCGUAGCGCUCCUCCGUCCUUUGCGAACGCAGGCUUCCAUCCAUACUAGGAAAGAUAUUUACUGAGCAAA